CUCUCUCUCUCUCGUUUAGAGACAGCCUGGUUUUCAGCUCCUUUUACUAACAUAUCUGGUGCGGAGACUCAGGAGGAGGUAUGCGAUCAAUUACGUGAUGAUUCCCCACCGGUUGGGGUUGAUUGGCCUUUUGCUGCCUCCUCCAGACCACAUCUGCGGAGCCAGGACCUCCUCGGGCCUUUCUGCCUUUACCAUUGCUGAUGACUCACAUCCACCCCGGUCACUGCUCUCAGGGUACUUCUAGCCCUAACUCCAUUGUCUGCACCUCCUGUUCCACUGGCCUCCUGUUCCACAUUCUCCUUGCUAGAGCGACUCCCUCCCCUGACCCGGACCUCAGCCCAGACUCCAAAGUGACUAUUGAUCCAACAGACCACUUUAUAAAAGGUCGUUCUGCCUGUGAGGCCCUUCUUGGAGAGAAAAAGCUUCUCCACCUCUCCAGACAGACCAGAAACAACAACCUGAAACUCCCAGGACCUCAUGAGAGCAUUUACCAGUCAGACAGUCACAGAACUCAUCAUGGUGGGGUACCAGCCACUGCAGCAGAAAGAAGACCUUACUUAUAGCUGCCCCCAUCAGAUCCAGGUUUAGUCCCAAUCUUUGCCCCUUUGUCAGCUUGAAGCAGCUACAGAAGAAAUGUUUUCCCAAUGACCAUAAAACAAAAACUUGGAAUAUUAGAUUUCCCUUGUCUUAAGAUGGCUGCUGCAUGGAGUAGCAGCCUCUUCUUCCCAUAAUGCCAUGUUAAAAUAUGGCUUCUCCCACCAAAGGAUAGUCUUCUUCCCAACAUGCCCCUCUUCCCACCAAGAAAGGUAAUCUGAUACUUGCUACCUCCUAGCAACUAGUGAUGUCACAGACUCCUCCAAUCCCUUAUUGCCACAUCACUCGAACCCACCCCAGCUCCUAUAAGAAGUGCCCCCUGUCUCGGCCAUAUUGCUCUCUCUCUUUUGUUCUGAGACAGCAUGGCAGAUCCUCCCCA
rnacentral:lncRNA from 1 species